rnacentral:rRNA from 1 species
UACGAAGGGGGCUAGCGUUGCUCGGAAUCACUGGGCUUAAAGGGUGCGUAGGCGGGCUGCCAAGUUUGAGGUGAAAUCCUCCGGCUCAACCGGGGAAGUGCCUUGAAUACUGGCGGUCUGGAGGGGGGUAGGGGCGUGCGGAACUAACGGUGGAGCGGUGAAAUGCGCAGAUAUCAGGAGGAACACCGGUGGCGAAGGCGGGUCUCUGGGCCGAUACUGACGCUGAGGAGCGAAAGCGUGGGGAGCGAACAGG